AGAGUUUGAUCCUGGCUCAGGAUGAACGCUAGCGGCAGGCCUAAUACAUGCAAGUCGAACGGAGGCAGCCCUCGGGCUGCUUUAGUGGCAAACGGGUGCGUAACGCGUAAGCAACCUGCCCACUACCGGGGGAUAGCCUGGCGAAAGCCGGGGUAAACCCCCAUAGUUCCCUUGUCUCACCUGGGGUGAGGGAUAAACAUUGAUGGGUUGUGGAGGGGCUUGCGUCUGAUUAGGUAGUUGGCGGGGUAGUGGCCCACCAAGCCAUUGAUCAGUAGGGGUUCUGAGAGGAUUGGCCCCCACAUGGGUACUGAGAUACGGACCCAACUCCUACGGGAGGCAGCAGUAGGGAAUAUUGGGCAAUGGGCGCAAGCCUGACCCAGCCAUGCCGCGUGGAGGAUGAAGGCGCUCAGCGUCGUAAACUCCUUUUAUCUACGAAGAACAGCAGCGAUGCGUCGUUGUGUGACGGUAGUAGAGGAAUAAGCACCGGCUAACUCCGUGCCAGCAGCCGCGGUAAUACGGAGGGUGCAAGCGUUGUCCGGAUUUAUUGGGUUUAAAGGGUGCGUAGGUGGCGUUUUAAGUCUGGUUUGAAAGCAGGCGGCUCAACCGUGUGAUGUGGCUGGAAACUGGGGCGCUUGAAUGAGUUGGCGGUAGCCGGAAAGGGUUAUGUACCGGUGAAAUGCAUAAAUAUGACCCGAGCCCCGAUUGCGAGGCAGCCAAUAUAAUGAUGACCUGAGCACAAACCUGGUACACAGAUAAUCCUGUANUAGGCAAU
rnacentral:rRNA from 1 species